rnacentral:lncRNA from 1 species
UGGGCCAACCCCACUUGCCAACAGCUGCAACGAGCCCUGUGUCCGGCAGUGCCAGGACUCCCGUGUGGUGAUUGAACCAUCUCCCGUGGUUUUGGCCUCUCUGGCUUUGGUGGCCGCUACUAUGGCAGGAGGUGCCUGCCCUGCUAAAGCCCAUGAGGAAGUCCAGUGAGCACAUUGACCAGGAAGCUCGAAGCCAGUUGCCGAACUGAAGAUGGAGCUGCUGGCCAGAGUUUCCAGCCUGCGCUGUCUGGAAACAUGGCCAGCAGACAUCUUCUUCUUCUUCCACUUUCUUCUGUGCAUCAUGAGCCGUUGUUGUCUCCUGCUGUCCUAUGCCAUGGGUUCAUCUGGAAGCAAGUCAGAAGUGUCCUAUUUCUUCUGCCUCUCGCCAUGUGAGGGAGGAAGACAUGCAACCCAUUGUGUUGAAGGAGGGUCUGACUGGCAGCUGUCCUUGUGGCAGCAUGUACCGGAUUCUUUCCACCAUGUGCUGCUUUGAUUCCUUCUUCAGACUCAUUAAAGUUUACACUGCAUUGUAAUCUGUGUGUCGUCAUGUUCCUUUUCUUUAUGGAUGCCCAGUGAAGCUGUUCAGGGAGAAAUGUGAUGUCUUGGAGUGGAAAAGCAUGGGUGAAUAUGGCCCUAAUAUGGACCUCCUUCAUGUCUGGAGUAGUUAGCUAGCCUGAAGAAAGAUGGUCAUUAGUGGAGAUAUGGAGAGGUGGAAGGGUGUCUGGUGUUUUAAAGCUAAAAUGAGAGUGUCCAAUAUGUAACCCAAGAGAUUUGUCACCAACAUGGGAGGUUUGCUGCUGUCUUCCAAUUUAUGAGGCAAACCUUUCAAUUUCUGGAAGGUAUGUUUGUGAAGGCCAGUGCCCAACUGGAUGAAGCUCUGAUGUUAUAUUACAGCUCUAAAUAUUUUGUUCUGCCCAUCUCUCCCCAUGCAUAUCUGCCAAAGCCUCAGAUUUUAAAGAGCCCUGAAGAAGGUAAAGGGAGAAGUGGAAGCUAGGGCAGUCUAUUAGAGGAUGAUGUGAGCUCCUAUUUUUGGGUUUAAGUCCCUCCCUCCUCUGCUCUUUUUCUCUGUUGGCAAUCCCUUGCUCCAUGCCCUCCAGUCCUCACUGAGGUUGAGUAGGAAGCUUCUCUUUUGCUCUACCCUCUGGAGGACAAUAUAAUUUUGCACCAGAUGGGUAUAUUCUCUUAAAGACAGAAACCACCCAAAAGAUCCAUGCAUCUGUCCUUGAUGGGAG